GAGGUUAGGUCGUUUGAAAACUUGAAGGCGUAUAAAGUGUGCAAUUGAAAUCAUUUAUUGAGAAUUUUUGUGAAAAUUACUAUAAGUAAUCAGUGUUGAGAGACUAUUAUCGUUGAAUUUUCCAUCUAUCAAAAUAAUUGAACACUGGCGAACAAAAAUUAUAAAGUGAAACGAUGUACAAAUUAUAUUUAUCUACAUGAGCAUAUUUUGACGCAGUGCAUAUACGCAAACAAGUGAACACCCACUAUAGAUGGAAAUGGAAAGUUGAACAAUUUGUUGUCGGCCUUAAGGAAAAUAAAUUACUCUAAAAAUAAUCAAAUUUAUAGAGAUUUGGAAUAUCUUAAUUACGAUGAUACUCAACGAAAUGUGCAAGAUGCACAGAAUAGUAUGAAUAACAGCUAUUUAAUGGUUGUUGAAAAUUGUCAACAAACCCCAAAAAACGACCCAGCGAAUGGAAAAAAUGAAUUUUAUGAUUUUAAAAGAGGAUUAUGUGUAAUCCUAAAUCAAGAAAAAUUUUCUGAAACAAAAAAUAUUAAACAGAAGUACAAUUUGAGAAAAGGAACCGAAAAAGAUGUAAAUCGACUGAAGUCAACGUUUGAAGAUUUUGGAUUUAAGGUCGAAGUGUCACAUAAUUUAGACCAACCAAAUUUUCUACGUGAAUUAAAAACAAUUGGCGGAUACUCUAAAGAACAGUACGAUUGCAUUCUUGUUACUAUCCUAAGCCACGGGAAAGAAAGAACAGUCGUUACGAGCGAUUGUAAGGAUGUCAAGCUUGAAAAAGUGAGGGAGGAGAUGUGUACUCCCACCUUAAAAGGAGUAGUUAAAAUGGUUGUCGUUCAAGCUUGUCAGGGCGACUUUUUAGGUCGAGAAGAAACGGACGGACCUUCAGGGUUUACAACAAAAUUAAGUGCUGAUCUAGCAUUAGAUGAUCUGCUUAAUGACAGUAACAAUAUCAGAUUCUCAGAUUUCGUGAUGUUCGUAGCGACAAUCGGAAAAUUUCAGAGUGUAAGAAAUACGAAAGAAGGAGCUUGGUUCAUACAGACAAUAUGUGAUGUUUUAAAUGAAUUUGAUGAAAUUGAGUGGAGUGAUUUUACUCGGAAAGUAAAGAAACUAGUUUUUGAGAAAAGAGGAACGGUGUGCGGCAUAGAAAAUGUAGUCCAGGUUCCAGAGAUUCUCCACGAUACUCUCAAAAUGAAAUUUCAAUUUCGGAAGAAGAAAAACGGGGACAGUAUGUAAGUGUCACAUAGUGUGAAACUAGAAAAAAAAUUAAUUACAUGCGAAAAAAACGUUAACUGAAACAACGAAAUAUCACUGAACUUUAACGCUUUAAUACUUUUCGUUUGAAAUGUUCAAAUUUUUAACACUUUUAGUAUUAUAUUUAUUGAAUUCGGAUUUAUUCAAGUUCUGAAGGCUUCAAUUUUAAAAUUUUGAUUUUAAACUUCCACUUU